rnacentral:rRNA from 1 species
CACGUAGGGUGCGAGCGUUUGUCCGGAAUUAUUGGGCGUAAAGAGCUCGUAGGCGGUGUGUCGCGUCGGCCGUGAAAAACCUGCAGCUUAACUGUGGGCUUGCGGUCGAUACGGGCAUCACUGGAGUUCGGCAGGGGGAGACUGGAAUUCCUGGUGUAGCGGUGAAAUGCGCAGAUAUCAGGAGGAACACCGGUGGCGAAGGCGGGUCUCUGGGC